rnacentral:rRNA from 1 species
AACGAACGCUGGCGGCAGGCCUAACACAUGCAAGUCGAGCGAGGACUUCGGUCCUAGCGGCGGACGGGUGAGUAACGCGUGGGAACGUGCCCUUUGCUUCGGAAUAGCCCUGGGAAACUGGGAGUAAUACCGGAUGAGCCCUUUGGGGGAAAGAUUGAUCGGCGAAGGAUCGGCACGCGUUGGAUUAGGUAGUUGGUGGGGUAAUGGCCUACCAAGCCGACGAUCCAUAGCUGGUUUGAGAGGAUGAUCAGCCACACUGGGACUGAGACACGGCCCAGACUCCUACGGGAGGCAGCAGUGGGGAAUCUUAGACAAUGGGGGAAACCCUGAUCUAGCCAUGCCGCGUGAGCGAUGAAGGCCUUAGGGUUGUAAAGCUCUUUCAGCUGGGAAGAUAAUGACGGUACCAGCAGAAGAAGCCCCGGCUAACUCCGUG